GGACAGCCCAGGUGAAGGCCCUGCGAUAGGAGCAACCUCAGUCCCAGAAAAACGAAAGAGGCCUGCGUGGCUGGAGCAGAGGCAGUGAGGAGGACACAGGCAGGAGAUGAGGACAUGGCAGGAAGAUGGCUGGGCUAAACCAUGAAGAAGGCUCUCACCAGGAAUCAAUUUGGCUGGCACCUUGCUCUUGGAUUUCCCACUUUCCAAAUUCAUGAGAAAUAAAUUUCUGUGUCUUAAGUUUC